UACGUAGGGUGCGAGCGUUAAUCGGAAUUACUGGGCGUAAAGCGUGCGCAGGCGGUUCGUUGUGUCGGCGGUGAAAGCCCCGGGCUCAACCUGGGAAUGGCCGUUGAAACUGGCGAACUGGAGUGUGCCGUAGGGGCAGGCGGAAUUCCGGGUGUAGCGGUGGAAUGCGUAGAGAUCCGGAAGAACACCGGUGGCGAAGGCGGCCUGCUGGGCGGCGACUGACGCUGAGGCGCGACAGCGUGGGGAGCAAACAGG
rnacentral:rRNA from 1 species